CCCUUAGACGUUCUGGGCCGCACGCGCGCUACACUGACCAGUGCAACAAGCAUCCGUCCUUGGCCGACAGGCCCGGGCAAUCUUUGAACGCUGGUCGUGAUGGGGAUAGACUUUUGCAAUUUUUGGUCUUCAACGAGGAAUUCCUAGUAAACGCAAGUCAUCAGCUUGCAUUGAUUACGUCCCUGCCCUUUGUACACACCGCCCGUCGCACCUACCGAUUGAAUGGUCCGGUGAAAUCUCGGGACGGCGGCUUGGUCGCUUGCGUCCGACUGCUGAAACUUGAUUAAACCAUAUCAUUUAGAGGAAGGUGAAGUCGUANCA
rnacentral:rRNA from 1 species